GCCAAAAACAUAAAUUCACGACUCAUUUCAAUCACCCCCGAAUUGACAGGGUAAAUCAUUUAUGCUUUUGGCGAAGACGCUUUUUCUAACGAUAAUAAUCUAAAUUAUGUGCCAAUUGAUUUUGAAUCGAACCGGGCCUGCAUUUUCCACUCGAAACCGUACCUGACAUGCAUUUCCUAACAAUUUUGAAUUAAACCGGUCCUGUGUUUCCUAACGGUUAAAACCAAAUCGGUCUUGAAUAUUUUAACGAUGUCGACACUUAUACGAUGCCGUUUUUGUGUCUCUUAAACCAAACCGGUCAUUUGUUUCUUUGUGUUGUUGAAGUAAAGAAAUUUUAGUUCUUGGAAUUCUAUUUGUUUUCAUAUCUUUCACUCAAAAUAUUUGAUUUGUUUAAGUUUCAUAAACAUCAAGUUUUGAUUUAUUACACUUAAAAUGAAUUUCAAACUACAUGAUAAUAAACACACCGUUUUCUAUUUGUUAAACUGGUGUAAUGAACCUUUGGCUUUCUACUCGUUUUUUAAACGUACGUGUUCUUUUUUAAACUGGUGUAAUAUUCACUGAUCUAUUUUUCUAUAAUGGCCACCCUCUUGUCUCCUCUGCUUUUUCACCCACUCCAGGUCGCCUUUUGUAUCUGACUUGAGAUCUGCAUGCAGAAUCGUGCUUCCUUUCACCAAAAUGAAACAUUGGCUUAGGGCAUUAUUUCUUGGGAAAUUGGGUCAUAUAGCCACAAAA
rnacentral:lncRNA from 1 species